CGGGUAGGAGUCACGAUCUCGUACUCGCUCAGCUUCUCCAGCAGCUUGGCUGCGAGGGAACAGAAGCACAUGCCCCUGAGCGGGGAGGCCGAGGCCCCCCCAUCACUCACCCCCUGGGGGGUUAGCCCCGCACCCUCCUCCUACUCUCCCCUCAACCCCUACACCCCUCCCUGAGCAUCCCCUUACCUUGCCUGGGGUGCAGCUUCUGCCUCCUUGCUCCUGUCCUCAAGCCGUCGAUGAAGAGCGUGGCAGCUCGAAGAAGCGGACCAACAAUCGAAGAAUCCCCUGUGUGACACUUGCAGCGGUUGUUGCCUUUAGUUCUCAGAUACGAGGCACUUAAAGCAACUUUUGUUCAGGGUUAUUUUUAUGUUGUGCAGUUUUCAGGCACCCUGAGUGAAAAAAAAAAAAAAAAAAAAAAAAAAAAAAAAAAGAGAAAAAUAUUAUUUCCUUAUCUGAGUUUAUAUUGGUUUGCUUUGUGUUACAAUUUGGAAGUUUUCUGUAAGAAAUUAAGACAUCCUUUAAAUGUAAUUAAGCAUUGUCUCCUAUGCAUCCUCAAAACAAAGCCCCAAAAUCUUGAUUUUAUUUUUCAAAUGUGGAAGAAUGCAAUGAAAUUUAAAGCCUGUGGACAAGACAAAAGAAAAUAGAUGGCUGGAAGUUUGAAUUUACACUUCCAUAGAAAAUUUCAAAGUUCUGCAGUUGCUGCAGAAAGAAAAAGCUUUAGGAAAAAAAAAAUCAGUUCAGAAUCUACUUCUGGGCAAAAUAGCAGCUCCUGGCUCCUCUAAAUGAACUGUUGAAGCACUACCUCAAGCAGUAGGAGUAAAUUAUUAAUUCUGUGCAAUGAAUAUAAAAG